rnacentral:misc_RNA from 1 species
GAUGAAGAACGCAGCGAAAUGCGAUAAGUAAUGUGAAUUGCAGAAUUCAGUGAAUCAUCGAAUCUUUGAACGCACAUUGCGCCCGCCAGUAUUCUGGCGGGUAUGCCUGUUCGAGCGUCAUUACAACCCUCAGGCCCCCGGGCCUGGCGUUGGGGAUCGGCGGAAGCCCCCUGUGGGCACACGCCGUCCCUCAAAUACAGUGGCGGUCCCGCCGCAGCUUCCAUUGCGUAGUAGCUAACACCUCGCAACUGGAGAGCGGCGCGGCCAUGCCGUAAAACACCCAACUUCUGAAUGUUGACCUCGAAUCAGGUAGGAAUACCCGCUGAACUUAAGCAUAUCAAUAAGCGGAGGA